AUGAACGCUGGCGGCUUGCCUAAUACCUGCAAGUCGAGCGAACAGACGAGGAGCUUGCUCCUCUGACGUUAGCGGCGGACGGGUGAGUAACACGUGGAUAACCUACCUAUAAGACUGGGAUAACUUCGGGAAACCGGAGCUAAUACCGGAUAAUAUAUUGAACCGCAUGGUUCAAUAGUGAAAGACGGUUUUGCUGUCACUUAUAGAUGGAUCCGCGCCGCAUUAGCUAGUUGGUAAGGUAACGGCUUACCAAGGCAACGAUGCGUAGCCGACCUGAGAGGGUGAUCGGCCACACUGGAACUGAGACACGGUCCAGACUCCUACGGGAGGCAGCAGUAGGGAAUCUUCCGCAAUGGGCGAAAGCUUGACGGAGCAACGCCGCGUGAGUGAUGAAGGUCUUCGGAUCGUAAAACUCUGUUAUUAGGGAAGAACAAAUGUGUAAGUAACUAUGCACGUCUUGACGGUACCUAAUCAGAAAGCCACGGCUAACUACGUG
rnacentral:rRNA from 1 species